GAUGAACGCUAGCUACAGGCUUAACACAUGCAAGUCGAGGGGAAACGGCAUUGAGUGCUUGCACUCUUUGGACGUCGACCGGCGCACGGGUGAGUAACGCGUAUCCAACCUUCCCAUUACUGUGGGAUAACCUGCCGAAAGGCAGACUAAUACCGCAUAGUCUUCGAUGACGGCAUCAGAUUUGAAGUAAAGAUUUAUCGGUAAUGGAUGGGGAUGCGUCUGAUUAGCUUGUUGGCGGGGUAACGGCCCACCAAGGCAACGAUCAGUAGGGGUUCUGAGAGGAAGGUCCCCCACAUUGGAACUGAGACACGGUCCAAACUCCUACGGGAGGCUGCAGUGAGGAAUAUUGGUCAAUGGACGGAAGUCUGAACCAGCCAAGUAGCGUGCAGGAUGACGGCCCUAUGGGUUGUAAACUGCUUUUGUAUGGGGAUAAAGUUAGGGACGUGUCCCUAUUUGCAGGUACCAUACGAAUAAGGACCGGCUAAUUCCGUGCCAGCAGCCGCGGUAAUACGGAAGGUCCAGGCGUUAUCCGGAUUUAUUGGGUUUAAAGGGAGCGUAGGCUGGAGAUUAAGUGUGUUGUGAAAUGUAGACGCUCAACGUCUGAAUUGCAGCGCAUACUGGUUUCCUUGAGUACGCACAACGUUGGCGGAAUUCGUCGUGUAGCGGUGAAAUGCUUAGAUAUGACGAAGAACUCCGAUUGCGAAGGCAGCUGACGGGAGCGCAACUGACGCUUAAGCUCGAAGGUGCGGGUAUCAAACAGG
rnacentral:rRNA from 1 species